GUCGCAAGAUUAAAACUCAAAGGAAUUGACGGGGACCCGCACAAGCGGUGGAUGAUGUGGAUUAAUUCGAUGCAACGCGAAAAACCUUACCUACCCUUGACAUGUACGGAAGUCCGCUGAGAGGUGGAUGUGCCCGAAAGGGAGCCGUAACACAGGUGCUGCAUGGCUGUCGUCAGCUCGUGUCGUGAGAUGUUGGGUUAAGUCCCGCAACGAGCGCAACCCUUGUCCCUAGUUGCUACGCAAGAGCACUCCAGGG
rnacentral:rRNA from 2 species